rnacentral:rRNA from 1 species
GGAUGCGAUCAUACCAGCACUAAAGCACCAGAUCCCAUCAGAACUCCGAAGUUAAGCGUGCUUGGGCGAGAGUAGUACUAGGAUGGGUGACCUCCUGUGAAGUCCUCGUGUUGCAUUCC